GAUCCGAAAACGUAAUCCCAAGUGUCCUGAAGUGUCGCCAAAAACCUCUCCCCAUCCUCCAAAAGCCCUAGCGACCUACAUAGGAGAACUCAACACAGCAACCUCAAAUUUUUUUGAUUUUCCUUACAAGAACAGAGGCAUACCUGACAUUUUUCCAAGAAAGAUUGAAUUUUUCUUUGCACCCUUAAGAGAACACAGAAUGGGUGAAAGAGAAAGCAGUUCAUUUGUACCAGAAUCAGUCAUGGACUCUACGAAGACUACCUUGGCCAACCUAGAACAACUGCAGACCCACUUGCUUCAGUUCCUCUCUCUUUCUGACCCUGAAGUCCUCGCCGAGAUGCCCCCUCUCCAACGCGC
rnacentral:misc_RNA from 1 species